GGAGGGUGCAAGCGUUAAUCGGACUGACUGGGCGUAAAGGGUGCGUAGGCGGACUUACAAGUUAGAUGUGAAAUCCCUGGGCUCAACCUAGGGUUUGCGUUUAAGACUGUAAGACUUGAGUACAGAAGGGGGCAGAGGAAUUUCCGGUGUAGCGGUGAAAUGCGUAGAUAUCGGAAAGAACAUCAGUGGUGAAGACGUCUGCCUGGACUGUAACUGACGCUGAGGCACGAAAGCGUGGGUAGCGAACAGGGAUUAGAUACCCUGGUAGUCCACGCAGUAAACGAUGAGUACUAGCUGUUGGAGUGCGACGACACUUUAGUGGCGCAGCAAACGCGAUAAGUACUCCGCCUGGGAUUACGGCCGCAAGGCUA
rnacentral:rRNA from 1 species